rnacentral:misc_RNA from 1 species
UCCGGAUUAGCUCCGGCAGUCCCACUAGAGUGCCAAACUUAAUUGGGGCAACUAGUAGUAAGGGUUGCGCUCGUUGCGUCACUUAAGACAACAUCUCACGACACGAGCUGACGACAGCCAUGCAGCACCUGUGUCUAGGUUCCCGAAGGCACAAUCUCAUCUCUGAAAUCUUCCUAGCAUGUCAAGAGCAGGUAAGGUUCUUCGCGUUGCAUCGAAUUAAUCCACAUCAUCCACCGCUUGUGCGGGUCCCCGUCAAUUCCUUUGAGUUUUAAUCUUGCGACCGUACUCCCCAGGCGGUCUACUUCUCGCGUUAGCUUCGCUACUUAGGUUUUACCCCCAACAGCAAGUAGACAUCGUUUAGGGCGUGGACUAC